rnacentral:rRNA from 1 species
UACAGAGGUGGCAAGCGUUGUUCGGAAUUACUGGGCGUAAAGGGCGCGUAGGCGGCCUUCUAAGUCAGACGUGAAAUCCCCCGGCUUAACCUGGGAACUGCGUCUGAUACUGGGAGGCUUGAGUAUGGGAGAGGGAUGUAGAAUUCCAGGUGUAGCGGUGAAAUGCGUAGAUAUCUGGAGGAAUACCGGUGGCGAAGGCGGCAUCCUGGACCACAACUGACGCUGAGGCGCGAAAGCUAGGGGAGCAAACGGG